UAUCGAGAAAUUAAAAUUUUGACCGAAGCGAAACCUCUCGUCCAUGAUGACUUCCGAUUGGGACGAAAUCGAGCGGCUCGCUUCCGACUUCCAGAAUGCCCAGCUGACGACCAGCUUCCAAAGGUUGUCGGAAUUACGUCGAAGUAGUCGCUCUGCUGAUUGAGAAGGGCCUGCUGGAGGUGAUUUACACGACCGAUGGCAAGGAGUACUUGACGCAGAUUCAUUUGAAGAAGAAGGUGCGGGACGAGAUGUUUGUGCGG